CAGCUCGUGUUGUGAAAUGUUGGGUUAAGUCCCGCAACGAGCGCAACCCUUAUCCUUGUUUGCCAGCACAUAAUGGUGGGAACUCCAGGGAGACUGCCGGUGAUAAACCGGAGGAAGGUGGGGACGACGUCAAGUCAUCAUGGCCCUUACGAGUAGGGCUACACACGUGCUACAAUGGCAGAUACAGAGGGCAGCGAGACAGCGAUGUUUAGCGAAUCCCUUAAAGUUUGUCGUAGUCCGGAUUGGAGUCUGCAACUCGACUCCAUGAAGUCGGAAUCGCUAGUAAUCGUGGAUCAGAAUGCCACGGUGAAUACGUUCCCG
rnacentral:rRNA from 1 species